CUUUCCGGGGCACACUCCUCCAAGCCCGGGGCUGAAAGACAGAGGAGCCCUAUUUAUUAUUCUUAUUACGUGGGGGCGAAAUGAGAGCUUGAAAACAAGUGCUCACAUUCAAUGUGGGUGAUAAAAAGGAAAACUUUUUAAAGAAGGGAUUAUUAAAAUUCAGAGACAGCAGAUGCCUCCAGCAAGUUUUCACCAGGGGAAUUCUGGAGGAAGAUUGUGAUCCCAUAAGAACGUGUCCUCACUGAGUGCAUUACUUAAAAGGAAUUCAAAGAAUGGCACUAAAGCCGCUGGGCUUGGAAUUUGGAGAUGCAGCCUCUUCUUCUGCAUAUCAGCUGUGUGUUUCCAGCCUCCUUGUCUGAAGUCCUCCCUCUGUGAAAGUGGCGGAAUAAUGAGUAUCAUGUGAAAAACACAGAAACAUCAACAGUCUCAUAAGCUUUAAAUAAGACCCAAAAGCCUUAUAAUAUUCAAACACCCAGGAUACCAUCCAAGAUUACUCAGCGUAUGAGGAACCAAGAAAAUCUCAGCUACGUGGGAAAAGGCACCCAGAGGAAGCAAUGCCAGGAUGGCACAGAUGUUGGAAAUAUCUGUCAAAGGCUUUAAAGAGACUAUGAUAAAAGGCUCCAAGAAGGAAUGGCGAACAUUGUUAAAACACAUGGAAAGAUACAAAGUCUUAACAAAGAAGUGAAGAUACAAAAAAGAAACAAAUCUAUAAGAAUCGUAUGAGGUCCUUUAAAAGUUCCUCACUGAUCUGGUGGAAUUUUCACAUAAGACUACUAUGUGAGAGAAGGGGAAACAGAGAAGACUGUUUAUAAGUUUGCAAAUGAAAAUAUGAGUGUGGAGGAGAAUGGAGGGGCGCUUACCUGCUACUAAGAUUGGUUACUGGCACACAGGAGGGGGAAAUCCCACAGCUUCAGUAAGAAAAAGCAUGAUUUCUUGUGUGUAAUGACCUGGCAGAGUUUUAUUGCAAAGAAUCCAGAAGCUCUAAAUUCUGGAAGGAACUGAUGGCAGAUUUGAAUGAUUGAGAAGAGAAUGUGGUUCCUGCUUCGCCUGAGAAUGGCUACUGUUGAUGGAAACAAGAAGGAAAUGGAUACUGUUACACUGAGCCAGUUUCUAACAUGGGGGGGAGGCUUUUCGGAACUUUGAAUUGCAUGCUCUGGGGAACGAUGAAUCUGCCUGAAGACGACAUCAACUUUGACCUGACGUUCACAACACUCAGUGCCCUCCCCCUGCCCCCCACCCCCACUCACAGGCGGCUAUUUCAUAGAGAAAGUUCUGGUAACUGUGCCUGAGGCACUUGCCGAGAUCUGCCUGGAUCCCCACCCCGACCCCAGUGGGCUUCUCCUGGUGUCCGAGGUUCCAUCCACGAUGAUCCUUCUUCUGAGCAUCGUCUGUGGGGACACAUUAGUGAAAAUGACCCGCUGAUGCGUGUGGCUUCUUUGUGCUGCUCUGGGAACAGAGACGCAGUGUGUGUAGCCCUCAGAAGAAGCUCAUCCUGGUUUUACCCCCAACAGAGUGUGUAUCUCCCAUUCCAUCUCCCUGCUGCAGGUUCAGAGGGAGAUCAAGGCACCAGGUUGCGGAAAGUGGCUGUUUCGUUCAGCAGGAGAUAAUUCAUACACGGCUGUCUGGGAUGUUCACACCUAUUUUAAAGGCUCGCAUUUGAUCUGUUCCCCAGGAACCAGCCAUCUGUGGGUUUUAAGGAGCAUGAUUAUUCAGACACUCAUUAUCAAAAAGCCAGAGGACCUGUCUGACGCAGAGAGACGCCGGCUUCUGUGCUCCAGGCUGCUUGCUCCAGGGACAGCUGGCUGCCUUGUCCUGAGUGCCUGAGGGAGUGAGCAAGUCCUUGACCUACAGCCAGUGGUGGAUUGAGGUCUGCCAUCAGUCCUGGGAGUGAAUUCAGAAGCAGCCCCAGCUGAGUCCUGAGAUGAUGACUUCCCCAGCCUAGAGAUGGAAAGCAGCCAAGGGAAAAAGCCUCAGCUAGGACCAUGCAGCUAAGCCCAUCCCAGAUUCCCGAGCCACAGAAACUGAGGUCCCCUUUGUCCAAACGAUUUACCUUCAAGAUGAAAUUCCCAGACUGACUGAUCUGGCAGGAUGCUGUGCCAUAACUCUUAUUUGGUGCUGAGUCUUGCCAUGUAUGCAAUUCUUGUGCCAGGAGAUCCAAGACACAGAACAGUGUUGGGCAAGAGGAGGUACCCAAUAGGUGUCUGCUCAGUUAGUGAUGCAAAGAAUGUGGCCUUGAUGUUCACAAGAUCACACUCCCAACCAGACCCCAAGGAAACCACCCAAUCUGAAGGAAUAUUGACUAGAAGGUGCCAUCAGUUGAACCACCUAAUGCUGCCCAGAAAGGAUCACCAGAUUUUACACACCAUCCCAAGACCGUGUCCAUGCUGGUCCCACUGUUCCUGUGACCUAGUCUUGGAGAUUUGGGUUCCACUCUAGGAGGUGAGGACACACCGAAGGCCAUCUCUCUGAGCUUCAGUCAGUCCUCCAGCUUGGUCUUCCUUGGAAAAGGGCUGCUCGCAUCCUCAUGGGAACCUCUUCCUCUCCUAUUUCUCCCUCACCUCCCUGAGUCUAUCUCAGACUGCUGGCUUCCUUCUUCGUCUGGGAGACAGGGUUCUGCUCUAGUCACACUUGAUGUGACUCUUCCUGGCAAGACCACAGGGCCAGCCUCAAUAUACUGGACAAAUGUGCCCCUCUCUGGAGUUCAUUUUAGUGACUCGCUUAUCAACUGCCAUCCUCACAGUCCUCAUCCAUCACCUUUGACCUUCGGCUUCUGACCUGGGCUUCAAGGAAAUUAUCAGCAAUGACUCUGUAGGCAGAUGGGAGGAUGGUGAUGUCACUACAACCACACUGCUCUGCCCACGUUCUUUAUGGAGGUCUUACAUUUUGGGGGGACAUUAAUAUUGGACAUUGCUCUUUUCUAGCAAAUAAAAGAUGUUAAUAUAUUCCUGUUACUGGCAUGGGCAUGACUAUGUUAUUAGAAGCCACUGUAUCAUUUCCCUGAUUUAAACAGAGAUGUCUGUUUAUAAAUUCUGCUUGUAGUUUAUUUUCACAAAUAAAAUAGUAAAAUUAAAAAAAAAACUCUGUCUGCAGAGAGGGAGGUGUCUCUACCCCAGCUGACCACUUCCCCGGUGUCCAAGGGCUGCCAUGGAAUCCCGAUGUUCCUCUCGGUCAGGGGUGCGCACCGCCCACCCAUGCCUGCGGCUCACCCAUUGCCCACGUCUGCUUUCGCCUGCUACAGCAGAACUGAGUAAACGCACGGAACAUAAGGGCCACCAGAAUGAAACUAUUUGCUAUCUGGCCCUUUAUGGAAAACAUUUCCCAACCUCUGCUGUCUAGAUCGGUAGAUGCCAAAAGUAUGCAUUUUACUAUUACCGAAGCAAGACUGGCAACUACUGCAAAACACGUAAUACACGCACAAUGAUAAGCACAAAACAGCUGACACGGCAGCAUUUUAACACUACAAGGAGAGACAGCCAUCUCAGUGCUGAAGGAGAGGAUGCAAUGGAUAACUUAAUUAGGAAUCCACCAGAGCCCUGAGUUUCCUCAUAUUUAAUGAGAAAGCCCAACACUGAUGCAACAGAAAUGAUCAUUAGAAUUUGAAUUAAAAUAUCAGAAGGUGAGUCCCAGCCUUUCUCCUUUCCAUUGAGUGGGUUGAAUAAGUUAGGACUGGAUUCCAUGACCUCAUAUUCAUCCUAUGGGAUGGAGGGAGACCCACAGGGAUGGACAGCUACCUCGUGUCAGCCAUGGUGCUCUUUUAUUUUUGUUCCAGCAUUUUUGUAGAUGAGGUAAGUAAGGC